rnacentral:rRNA from 1 species
ACGUAGGUCCCGAGCGUUAUCCGGAUUUAUUGGGCGUAAAGCGAGCGCAGGCGGUUAGAUAAGUCUGAAGUUAAAGGCUGUGGCUUAACCAUAGUACGCUUUGGAAACUGUUUAACUUGAGUGCAGAAGGGGAGAGUGGAAUUCCAUGUGUAGCGGUGAAAUGCGUAGAUAUAUGGAGGAACACCGGUGGCGAAAGCGGCUCUCUGGUCUGUAACUGACGCUGAGGCUCGAAAGCGUGGGGAGCAAACAG